rnacentral:rRNA from 1 species
GAUCAGUGGCGAACGGGUGAGUAACACGUGAGCAACCUGCCCCUGACUCUGGGAUAAGCGCUGGAAACGGCGUCUAAUACUGGAUAUGUGACGUGACCGCAUGGUCUGCGUCUGGAAAGAAUUUCGGUUGGGGAUGGGCUCGCGGCCUAUCAGCUUGUUGGUGAGGUAAUGGCUCACCAAGGCGUCGACGGGUAGCCGGCCUGAGAGGGUGACCGGCCACACUGGGACUGAGACACGGCCCAGACUCCUACGGGAGGCAGCAGUGGGGAAUAUUGCACAAUGGGCGCAAGCCUGAUGCAGCAACGCCGCGUGAGGGACGACGGCCUUCGGGUUGUAAACCUCUUUUAGCAGGGAAGAAGCGAAAGUGACGGUACCUGCAGAAAAAGCGCCGGCUAACUACGUGCCAGCAGCCGCGGUAAUACGUAGGGCGCAAGCGUUAUCCGGAAUUAUUGGGCGUAAAGAGCUCGUAGGCGGUUUGUCGCGUCUGCUGUGAAAUCCGGAGGCUCAACCUCCGGCCUGCAGUGGGUACGGGCAGACUAGAGUGCGGUAGGGGAGAUUGGAAUUCCUGGUGUAGCGGUGGAAUGCGCAGAUAUCAGGAGGAACACCGAUGGCGAAGGCAGAUCUCUGGGCCGUAACUGACGCUGAGGAGCGAAAGGGUG